ensembl:snoRNA
GAUGGAGGCUGCAGCGAGCAGAGAUGGCGCCACUGCACUCCAGCCUGAGCGACAACGAGACUCCCUCUAAAAAAAAAAGCCACAUUAUGAGCCUUAAGGAUGUUGAAGAUGUUAAGGUCCCUGAAAAUGGCUAAAACA